rnacentral:rRNA from 1 species
GUGAGGAAUAUUGCGCAAUGGAGGCAACUCUGACGCAGCCAUGCCGCGUGCAGGAAGAAGGCGCUACGCGUUGUAAACUGCUUUUAACCGGGAAGAAACCCCAGGACGUGUCCUGGGUUGACGGUACCGGAGGAAUAAGCACCGGCUAACUUCGUGCCAGCAGCCGCGGUAAUACGAAGGGUGCAAGCGUUAUCCGGAGUCAUUGGGUUUAAAGGGUGCGUAGGCGGAGCGUUAAGUCAGUGGGGAAAUCCUGCAGCUUAACUGUAGACUUGCCAUUGAUACUGGCGCUCUUGAGUGCGCUUGAAGUGGGCGGAAUGUGCCGUGUAGCGGUGAAAUGCUUAGAUAUGGCACAGAACACCAAUUGCGAAGGCAGCUCACUAAGGCGAUACUGACGCUGAGGCACGAAAGCGUGGGGAUCGAACAGGAUUAGAUACCCUUGUAGUCC